rnacentral:tRNA from 1 species
UAGCCUAGUUGUUAAGGCUAUGGAUCGCCAAUCCGGAGACAGCGGGUUCGAUUCCCGU